rnacentral:rRNA from 1 species
UACGUAGGGAGCAAGCGUUGUCCGGAAUCAUUGGGCGUAAAGCGCGCGUAGGUGGCUUCGUAAGUCCGUUGUGAAAGUCAAAGGCUCAACCUUUGAAAGCCGAUGGAUACUGCGGAGCUAGAGUACGGAAGAGGCGAGUGGAAUUCCUGGUGUAGCGGUGGAAUGCGCAGAUAUCAGGAGGAACACCAAUAGCGAAGGCAGCUCGCUGGGACGUACUGACACUGAGAGAGAAAGC